CAGCUGGGGGCGCUGAGCAGCAGGCCGCAAGGACGUCAACGCGUGGAGGCUGGAUUGGAUUUCGGCACUGGUCUGCAUUGCAAUUGAUCAUUUGGAUAGCGUCGGAUCCUGCAGCCGAAGUGCUGACUGCGACCGACGCGCUGACACUGAACGCUGACUGUGCCGUCAGCGCUGUCAGCAGCGCCGGCAAUGCGCUGAUCACGACUGCCUUCGCGGCCUUCGUGUGGCUUAUCAAUCAGAGACUCGUCGGACGGGCCAGACAGACAGCGAAUUGGCACCGAUUGACCCUCAGCUCCAGGGCAGCCGUCAUGAGCCAGCAAAACGCAGGCCGGACUGUCAGCAAAAAGCCGUCUGGACAAACCAAACUGUUGUCUCUCUGUCGUAUUGUGACAGCGCCACGGCGCCCAAACAGUCCGCCUUUUUGCGCGGCUCGACCAACACCGAGCGUCCAAGUUCGUAUUUACAUGUGACACGAAUUUCCCUGUUCCAAUAUUUUGCCACAUCACGCAGGACGAGCGUCGCGCACGAGAGCGUGGCGUUUGGCCGGAGCUGACACUAUCCGCCGCCACGCUUACGAGGCGGUUCCGUGGCCUUUCUCAGGCCGCCCCGGUCCGGCUGCGCUGCGCCGGUCGUCGCCGGCGUCACGCGCGUCGCCGACGGCUUUUUACCUUUAAACCCCACGAGCCACGCAUCGUCGCCGCCGAGUGGCAUCUUUCCGGCGGCGAAAUUUAAACCUCGUCGGCGGUGGUU